rnacentral:rRNA from 1 species
GGCGGACGGGUGAGUAAUACAUAGGUAAUCUACCUUCGAGCUUGGGAUAACCCCGCGAAAGUGGGGCUAAUACCGGAUAAGACCACGUAACCAUGUUACGGGGUAAAAGGUGGCUUAUUUUUUAAAUGAGCUAUCACUUGAGGAUGAGCCUGUGGCCUAUCAGCUUGUUGGCGGGGUAAGAGCCCACCAAGGCUAUGACGGGUAACUGGUCUGAGAGGACGACCAGUCACACUGGGACUGAGACACGGCCCAGACUCCUACGGGAGGCAGCAGUGGGGAAUAUUGGGCAAUGGGCGAAAGCCUGACCCAGCGACGCCGCGUGGGCGAUGAAGGCCUUCGGGUUGUAAAGCCCUGUCAUGCGGAAAGAACGACCCUGAGACGCAUACUCUCAGGGAGUGACGGUACCGCAGGAGGAAGCACCGGCUAACUCCGUGCCAGCAGCCGCGGUAAUACGGAGGGUGCAAGCGUUGUACGGAAUUAUUGGGCGU